UACUGUGGAGUUGUUUCUGGUUGAUGCUGCUGACAAUUCUAAUAAUAGGAGCUGUGAAUGUGGUCUGGGUCAUUGUACUGAUUGUUGGGAAUGUGAAAGUGUCUUGUUUCCCUUUUGGUGAGUCUCAGAAGUUUGAUGGAAUCUCUCUGAAGGGAUUUCAAGUAAAUUUGGACAAUGGAGGAUCUAAAGGAUCAUCUGCCACUGCUACAUCUGUAGUCACGUCAGCGUCUCCUGCCCCCACCCAUCUUGGGGAGCCCGUCGUCACGUCAGCGUCUCCUGCCCCCACCCAUCAUAGAUUGUCUGAAAUUACAAAAGGCAUGUCUACUGAACUUGGUGCAACCACAGUCUCUCCUACCACCCAUAUGAUAACUGGUUCCGAAACUGGCAUGUAUGAUGACCGUGGUCAUGGUCAUGACAGGGGCCAUCAUCGUGGUGGUCAUGACAGGGGCCAUCAUCGUGGUGGUCAUGGUUAUCACGGGUACCGUUAUGACUAUUACUGCCAGAACUGCUAUGGUUAUGGCUGUAGUUGGGGUCUCUGUCGUGGCUGUGACUGGAGUCUCUGUUCCUGGCAGUUCCAAUGAGCUUAAGUCCAUAGCAUCUGGUCACGUGACUCCUACCACCACAGACCUUCUGAAGAUGCAAUGUUUUCUCCAACUUGCAUAACGAUUGGGUGUAUUCUAGGAACAUGGCCUGUGAUAUCGCCUGUGUCAGGUUGCUUGUUUAGUGUCAGAGGUAACGCAUGGUGUUCACAAUCAAGUGUUUUGGUUGUUCGUCUUCAUCUGUUCCUCUAAUAAACUUUUGACGUUACUACUUG